rnacentral:tRNA from 1 species
GGCUAUAGCUCAGGGGUAGAGCGCAUGCUUAGAAUGCACGAGGUCCUGGGUUCAGUCCCCAGUACUGCCA